AUCGACAAUCCACGUUAANUCUCACUUUAAUUAUAAAUUUAUAUACCGCCAUCUCUAGAAUCAAUUUAAAAAUAUUUUCCUAAAAAAUAAAUAAAAAGUUAGGUCAAGGUGUAAUCUACAUUAAAGAGUCAGAUGAAUUACAUUAAAAAAAAUUUAAAGACUAUAUAUAUAUAUAUAUAUACAAAUAAGGAUUUAAAAGUAAUAUUAAAAUAAUAUUAUAAUAUGAUAUAGAUAAUGAAUGUGCACACAUCGCCC
rnacentral:rRNA from 1 species